CACGUAGGGCGCAAGCGUUGUCCGGAAUUAUUGGGCGUAAAGAGCUCGUAGGCGGUCUGUUGCGUCCGCUGUGAAAACCCGGGGCUUAACCCUGGGCUGGCAGUGGAUACGGACAGACUAGAGGUAGGUAGGGGAGAAUGGAAUUCCCGGUGUAGCGGUGAAAUGCGCAGAUAUCGUAAGGAAGACCAGUGGCGAAGGCGGGUCUCUGGACAGUUCCUGACGCUGAGGCACGAAGGUCAGGGGAGCAAACGGG
rnacentral:rRNA from 1 species